AAAUUGAAGAGUUUGAUCAUGGCUCAGAUUGAACGCUGGCGGCAGGCCUAACACAUGCAAGUCGAACGGUAACACAGAGAGCUUGCUCUCGGGUGACGAGUGGCGGACGGGUGAGUAAUGUCUGGGAAACUGCCUGAUGGAGGGGGAUAACUACUGGAAACGGUAGCUAAUACCGCAUAACGUCGCAAGACCAAAGAGGGGGACCUUCGGGCCUCUUGCCAUCAGAUGUGCCCAGAUGGGAUUAGCUAGUAGGUGGGGUAACGGCUCACCUAGGCGACGAUCCCUAGCUGGUCUGAGAGGAUGACCAGCCACACUGGAACUGAGACACGGUCCAGACUCCUACGGGAGGCAGCAGUGGGGAAUAUUGCACAAUGGGCGCAAGCCUGAUGCAGCCAUGCCGCGUGUAUGAAGAAGGCCUUCGGGUUGUAAAGUACUUUCAGCGGGGAGGAAGGUGUUGUGGUUAAUAACCACAGCAAUUGACGUUACCCGCAGAAGAAGCACCGGCUAACUCCGUGCCAGCAGCCGCGGUAAUACGGAGGGUGCAAGCGUUAAUCGGAAUUACUGGGCGUAAAGCGCACGCAGGCGGUCUGUCAAGUCGGAUGUGAAAUCCCCGGGCUCAACCUGGGAACUGCAUUCGAAACUGGCAGGCUAGAGUCUUGUAGAGGGGGGUAGAAUUCCAGGUGUAGCGGUGAAAUGCGUAGAGAUCUGGAGGAAUACCGGUGGCGAAGGCGGCCCCCUGGACAAAGACUGACGCUCAGGUGCGAAAGCGUGGGGAGCAAACAGGAUUAGAUACCCUGGUAGUCCACGCCGUAAACGAUGUCGACUUGGAGGUUGUGCCCUUGAGGCGUGGCUUCCGGAGCUAACGCGUUAAGUCGACCGCCUGGGGAGUACGGCCGCAAGGUUAAAACUCAAAUGAAUUGACGGGGGCCCGCACAAGCGGUGGAGCAUGUGGUUUAAUUCGAUGCAACGCGAAGAACCUUACCUACUCUUGACAUCCAGAGAACUUUCCAGAGAUGGAUUGGUGCCUUCGGGAACUCUGAGACAGGUGCUGCAUGGCUGUCGUCAGCUCGUGUUGUGAAAUGUUGGGUUAAGUCCCGCAACGAGCGCAACCCUUAUCCUUUGUUGCCAGCGGUUAGGCCGGGAACUCAAAGGAGACUGCCAGUGAUAAACUGGAGGAAGGUGGGGAUGACGUCAAGUCAUCAUGGCCCUUACGAGUAGGGCUACACACGUGCUACAAUGGCGCAUACAAAGAGAAGCGACCUCGCGAGAGCAAGCGGACCUCAUAAAGUGCGUCGUAGUCCGGAUUGGAGUCUGCAACUCGACUCCAUGAAGUCGGAAUCGCUAGUAAUCGUAGAUCAGAAUGCUACGGUGAAUACGUUCCCGGGCCUUGUACACACCGCCCGUCACACCAUGGGAGUGGGUUGCAAAAGAAGUAGGUAGCUUAACCUUCGGGAGGGCGCUUACCACUUUGUGAUUCAUGACUGGGGUGAAGUCGUAACAAGGUAACCGUAGGGGAACCUGCGGUUGGAUCACCUCCUUA
rnacentral:rRNA from 1 species